rnacentral:rRNA from 1 species
AAGACCUUGCGCUUUUGGAGCGGCCGAUGCCUGAUUAGCUAGUUGGUGGGGUAAAGGCUUACCAAGGCUUCGAUCAGUAGCUGGUCUGAGAGGACGGCCAGCCACACUGGGACUGAGACACGGCCCAGACUCCUACGGGAGGCAGCAGUGGGGAAUUUUGGACAAUGGGGGCAACCCUGAUCCAGCCAUGCCGCGUGAGUGAAGAGUUGAAAGCUCUUUCAGUCGGGAAGAAAAGGUUGUGGUUAAUACCUGCAAUUNUAAUACCUGCGAUUACUGACGGUACCGGAAGAAGAAGCACCGGCUAACUACGUGCCAGCAGCCGCGGUAAUACGUAGGGUGCAAGCGUUAAUCGGAAUUACUGGGCGUAAAGCGUGCGCAGGUGGUUUUGUAAGUCAGAUGUGAAAUCCCCGGGCUCAACCUGGGAACU